rnacentral:rRNA from 1 species
UACGUAGGGGCCGAGCGUUGUCCGGAGUUAUUGGGCGUAAAGCGCGCGCAGGCGGCUUGACGCGCCCGACGUGAAAGCCCCCGGCUUAACCGGGGAGGGUCGUCGGGUACGGUCAGGCUUGAGGGCGGGAGAGGGUGGUGGAAUUCCCGGUGUAGUGGUGAAAUGCGUAGAGAUCGGGAGGAACACCUGUGGCGAAGGCGGCCACCUGGGCCGACCCUGACGCUGAGGCGCGAAGGCGUGGUGAGCGAACGGG